GCACAAGCGAGUAAAAGUCCCCACCAUGGGAGCUGAAGCUGUUUGCCAAAUCCCUCACAUGCAUAAAGAGCUAGCACAAAGGAAGCAGCGAGAACCGCAACGAACCACCAUUGAGGUACUUCCUUAUAAUUCUUCUUCAUCAAUCUUGUAUGCACAUCUCCAAACUUGUCCUUUGUCGUCAAUGUUGCCUUCUUCCACAGCUCCCAGAUAAACCUUCAUGUAAACAACCACAACAACAACAAAAAAAUAUUUUUCAUGGAAACUGAUAAAUUGAUCUAUACAGUAUUUUGAGACGCAGAGUAGAGAAAAAAAGAAAAAAAAAAGAAUCUUACUUUCCGUCAAAGAGGGCGACAUGAGAAAUGGUUGCGGUAAGGGUACCGAAGCUGAG
rnacentral:lncRNA from 1 species